rnacentral:rRNA from 1 species
UGCGUAACACGUGACCAACCUGCCCUCGGUGUGGGGGAUAGCCGGGCUAACGCCCGGGUAAUACCGCAUACGGUCACCGAGAGGAGUCUCUUGGUGAAGAAAGCUCCGGCGCACGGGGAGGGGGUCGCGGCCUAUCAGCUAGUUGGCGGGGUAAUGGCCCACCAAGGCGACGACGGGUAGCUGGUCUGAGAGGAUGGCCAGCCACAUUGGGACUGAGAGACGGCCCAG